rnacentral:rRNA from 1 species
UACAGAGGUCUCAAGCGUUGUUCGGAAUCACUGGGCGUAAAGGGUGCGUAGGCGGCAUGGUAAGUCAGAGGUGAAAUCCCGGAGCUCAACUUCGGAAUUGCCUCCGAUACUGCCAUGCUUGAGGACUGGAGAGGAGAUUGGAAUUCACAGUGGAGCAGUGAAAUGCGUAGAUAUUGUGAGGAACACUAGUGGCGAAGGCGAAUCUCUGGACAGUUCCUGACGCUGAGGCACGAAGGCCAGGGGAGCAAACAGG